GGUUAAGUUAACAAGGGCGCAUGGUGAAUGCCUUGGCACUAGGAGCCGAUGAAGGACGGGACUAACACCGAUAUGCUUCGGGGAGCUGUACGUAAGCUAUGAUCCGGAGAUUUCCGAAUGGGGCAACCCAGCAGUUUUAAUCAACUGUUACCACUAGAUGAAUUCAUAGUCUAGUUGGAGGUAAACGCUGUGAACUGAAACAUCUCAUUAGCAGCAGGAAUAUAAAGAAAUUUCGAUUCCCUAAGUAGCGGCGAGCGAACGGGGAACAGCCCAAACCAAAGUGCUUGCACUUUGGGGUUGUAGGACUGAACAUUUGAGUUACCAAAGAACUUGAUAGUCGAAGGAUUUGGGAAAAUCCGCCAUGGUGAUAGCCCAGUAGAUUAAAUCAAAUUCUCUCAGUUCAGGAUCCUGAGUACGGCGGAACACGUGAAAUUCCGUCGGAAUCCGGGAGGACCAUCUCCCAAGGCUAAAUACUACCUAGUGACCGAUAGUGAACCAGUACCGUGAGGGAAAGGUGAAAAGCACCCCGGGAGGGGAGUGAAAUAGUUCCUGAAACCAUGUGCCUACAAUAAGUCAGAGCGCGUUAAUGCGUGAUGGCGUGCCUUUUGUAGAAUGAACCGGCGAGUUAUGAUCCCGUGCAAGGUUAAGACUAAAAAGUCGGAGUCGGAGCGUAGCGAAAGCGAGUCUGAAAUGGGCGUUUUGAGUACGAGGUUAUAGACCCGAAACCAGGUGACCUAUCCAUGUCCAGGUUGAAGGUGCGGUAAAACGCACUGGAGGACCGAACCCGUGUAAGUUGAAAAUUGCUGGGAUGAGGUGUGGAUAGCGGUGAAAUUCCAAACGAACUUGGAGAUAGCUGGUUCUCUCCGAUAGCUUUAGGGCUAGCCUCGGAAUUAGGAUCAUGGAGGUAGAGCACUAUUUGGACUAGGGGCCCGUCUUGGGUUACUGAAUUCAGAUAAACUCCGAAUGCCAUUGAUUCAUAUCCGGGAGUCAGACGAUGAGUGAUAAGAUCCACCGUCGAAAGGGGAACAGCCCAGACCAUCAGUUAAGGUCCCUAAAUGUAUGCUAAGUGGAAAAGGAUGUGGAGCAUAGACAACUAGGAUGUUGGCUCAGAAGCAGCCACCAUUUAAAGAGUGCGUAAUAGCUCACUAGUCGAGUGAUCCUGCGCCGAAAAUGUACCGGGGCUAAGCAUACUACCGAAACCAUGGAUGCGACCAUUAGGUCGCGUGAUAGGAGAGCGUUCUAAGGGCGGUGAAGCAAGAUCGUGAGGACUUGUGGAGCGCUUAGAAGUGAGAAUGCCGGUAUGAGUAGCGAAAGAUAGGUGAAAUCCUAUCCACCGAAUGACUAAGGUUUCCUGGGGAAGGCUCGUCCUCCCAGGGGUAGUCGGGACCUAAGUCGAGGCCGAGAGGCGUAGACGAUGGAUAACAGGUUGAGAUUCCUGUACUAGUUAAGUGCGUUUGAGCAAUGGAGGGACGCAGCAGGAGGCUAAGAUGUGCAUUCUGUUGGAUUAGAAUGUCCAAGCAGUAAGUCUUGUGAAGAGUCAAAUGCUUUUCACUUUAAGGACAAGCUGUGAUGGGGAGCGAAAUUUAGUAGCGAAGCGUCUGAUGUCACACUGCCGAGAAAAGCUUCUAGUGAGUACUUAACUACCCGUACCGCAAACCGACACAGGUAGUCGAGGAGAGAAUCCUAAGGUGAGCGAGUGAACUCUCGUUAAGGAACUCGGCAAAAUGACCCCGUAACUUCGGGAGAAGGGGUGCUGAUCGCAAGAUCAGCCGCCGCAGUGAAUAGGCCCAGGCGACUGUUUAUCAAAAACACAGGUCUCUGCAAAAUCGUAAGAUGACGUAUAGGGGCUGACGCCUGCCCGGUGCUGGAAGGUUAAAAAAGGAUGGGUUAGCUUCGGCGAAGCUCAGAAUUGAAGCCCCAGUAAACGGCGGCCGUAACUAUAACGGUCCUAAGGUAGCGAAAUUCCUUGUCGGGUAAGUUCCGACCCGCACGAAAGGCGUAACGAUCUGGGCACUGUCUCAACGAGAGACUCGGUGAAAUUAUAUUGUCCGAUGAAGAUGGACUACCCGCGACAGGACGGAAAGACCCCAUGGAGCUUUACUGUAGCUUGAUAUUGAGUGUUUGUACAGCUUGUACAGGAUAGGUAGGAGCCAUAGAAACCGGAACGCUAGUUUCGGUGGAGGCGUUGGUGGGAUACUACCCUCGCGCUGUAUGACCACUCUAACCCGCACCACUAAUCGUGGUGGGAGACAGUGUCAGGUGGGCAGUUUGACUGGGGCGGUCGCCUCCUAAAAAGUAACGGAGGCGCCCAAAGGUUCCCUCAGAAUGGUUGGAAAUCAUUCGCAGAGUGUAAAGGCACAAGGCACAAGGGAGCUUGACUGCGAGAGACAGACAGGUCGAGCAGGGACGAAAGUCGGGCUUAGUGAUCCGGUGGUACCGUAUGGAAGGGCCAUCGCUCAACGGAUAAAAGCUACCCUGGGGAUAACAGGCUUAUCUCCCCCAAGAGUCCACAUCGACGGGGAGGUUUGGCACCUCGAUGUCGGCUCAUCGCAUCCUGGGGCUGUAGUCGGUCCCAAGGGUUGGGCUGUUCGCCCAUUAAAGCGGUACGCGAGCUGGGUUCAGAACGUCGUGAGACAGUUCGGUCCCUAUCCGUCGCGGGCGUAGGAAAUUUGAGAGGACCUGUCCUUAGUACGAGAGGACCGGGAUGGACAUACCUCUGGUGUACCAGUUGUGCCGCCAGGCGCAUCGCUGGGUAGCUACGUAUGGAUGUGAUAAACGCUGAAAGCAUCUAAGUGUGAAACACACCUCGAGAUGAGAUUUCCCAUUCCUUUAUGGAAGUAAGACCCCUGAAAGAUGAUCAGGUAGAUAGGUUAGAAGUGGCAGUGCGGUGACGCAUGAAGCGGACUAAUACUAAUCGGUCGAGGACUUAACCAA
rnacentral:rRNA from 1 species